rnacentral:miRNA from 1 species
UGCCCCCAGGCACGCUGUCGGUGC